UGAGUUUGUAGAUGUCUGUAUU
rnacentral:piRNA from 1 species